AGUUUGAUCAUGGCUCAGAGUGAACGCUGGCGGCAGGCCUAAUACAUGCAAGUCGAACGGCAGCACAGCAGAGCUUGCUCUGUGGGUGGCGAGUGGCGGACGGGUGAGGAAUACAUGGGAAUCUGCCCAGUCGUGGGGGAUAACGUAGGGAAACUUACGCUAAUACCGCAUGCGCCCUUCGGGGGAAAGCCGGGGACCUUCGGGCCUGGCGCGAUUGGAUGAGCCCAUGUCGGAUUAGCUAGUUGGCGGGGUAAUGGCCCACCAAGGCGACGAUCCGUAGCUGGUCUGAGAGGAUGAUCAGCCACACUGGAACUGUGACACGGUCCAGACUCCUACGGGAGGCAGCAGUAGGGAAUAUUGGACAAUGGGCGCAAGCCUGAUCCAGCCAUGCCGCGUGAGUGAAGAAGGCCCUCGGGUUGUAAAGCUCCUUUGUCCGGAAAGAAAAGCGCCGGGUUAAUACCCUGGUGUCCUGACGGUACCGGAAGAAUAAGCACCGGCUAACUUCGUG
rnacentral:rRNA from 1 species